AAUCAUCAUGCAUUGUGAUUUGAUUGUGCCCUAAGAGAGAAAUUGCAAGCUUCAGCUUUGGGACUUAGGGGUGAGAAGGAAUCAAGUGAUGCCUUUGCCUGCCAGGCUUGCCAGUGAAAAGGCCCCAGGUCUAAUCCCUUUCUGCUACACACCAAUGAAACUUAGGAAACUCUUUGACUAUUGACUUUUUCACGUGGAAACUGAUCUACUGAAAGUGAAAAGAAACCAUUUCUUGGAGGGGGGAAGAAAAACCUCUGUGAAACUCUGUUUUGAAAAAGUCGUCGUCCUUGGCCUGUGGAGUAGCAGCAGAAGCAAAGGCUUUUUGAUCCUCAGAUUUGUAAACUUGUAGACAUAAUAAUGCCAUUUCUCUAGUGUUAGCAGGUGUCCUGUCUGGAAGUUGCUGCCUCAGCCUCCAGCAGAGCUGGGAAUUAGAAAAUUGUCUGUCUUUCCUGAACCGUGAAGUGCUGCUCUUAAAUAAAGGCCAGGUCAGAUGUUAAA